rnacentral:rRNA from 1 species
UACGAAGGGGGCUAGCGUUGUUCGGAUUUACUGGGCGUAAAGCGCACGUAGGCGGAUCGUUAAGUCGGGGGUGAAAUCCUGGAGCUCAACUCCAGAACUGCCUUUGAUACUGGGGAGCUAGAGUCCGGGAGAGGUGAGUGGAACUGCGAGUGUAGAGGUGAAAUUCGUAGAUAUUCGCAAGAACACCGGUGGCGAAGGCGGCCAUCUGGACGGUCACUGACGCUGAGACGCGAAAGCGUGGGGAGCGAACGAG